rnacentral:rRNA from 1 species
AAGUCGUACAAGGUCUCCGUAGGUGAACCUGCGGAGGGAUCAUUACACAAAUAUGAAGCCGGACUGGGAUAGGGCCUCGCUGCCUUGCCCGUCUGGCGCCAUAUUCACCCAUGUCUUUUUGCGUACUACUUGUUUCCUUGGCGGGUCCGCCCGCCAAUUGGACCUUAUUCAAACCUUUUUUUCAGUUGCAAUCAGCGUCAGCAAAACAAAUGUAAUCAAUUACAACUUUCAACAACGGAUCUCUUGGUUCUGGCAUCGAUGAAGAACGCAGCGAAAUGCGAUAAGUAGUGUGAAUUGCAGAAUUCAGUGAAUCAUCGAAUCUUUGAACGCACAUUGCGCCCUUUGGUAUUCCAAAGGGCAUGCCUGUUCGAGCGUCAUUUGUACCCUCAAGCUUUGCUUGGUGUUGGGCGUCUUGUCUCUCUCCCGAGACUCGCCUUAAAAUCAUUGGCAGCCGGCCUACUGGUUUCGGAGCGCAGCACAUUAUUUGCGCUCUUGUCCAGCCGCGGUCGCGCGUCCAUGAAGCUUCUUUCAACCUUUUGACCUCGGAUCAGGUAGGGAUACCCGCUGAACUUA